AACGAACGCUGGCGGCAGGCCUAACACAUGCAAGUCGAACGCAUCGCAAGAUGAGUGGCAGACGGGUGAGUAACGCGUGGGAACCUUCCCAGUGGUGCGGAAUAGCUCAGGGAAACUUGAGGUAAUACCGCAUGAGCCCGCAAGGGGAAAGAUUUAUCACCAUUGGAUGGGCCCGCGUCGGAUUAGCUAGUUGGUGAGGUAACGGCUCACCAAGGCUACGAUCCGUAGCUGGUCUGAGAGGAUGAUCAGCCACACUGGGACUGAGACACGGCCCAGACUCCUACGGGAGGCAGCAGUGGGGAAUAUUGGACAAUGGGCGCAAGCCUGAUCCAGCCAUGCCGCGUGAGUGACGAAGGCCUUAGGGUUGUAAAGCUCUUUUGCCGGGGACGAUAAUGACGGUACCCGGAGAAUAAGUCCCGGCUAACUUCGUGCCAGCAGCCGCGGUAAGUGACGUCAGA
rnacentral:rRNA from 1 species